UUCGGUUACAGGGACAUAUACCCAAAACAUCAAGAAAUUGUGUGGUUUAUGUAAAUGGGGAACUAAAAUGUGUUGUGAAACCAAAAGGAAAUGUCUAAAAUAAUAUUUGGCAGAAUUAUCAUUACACUUAAGUAUCAUUAGAAAAUUGUAAAAAGUUCCAAGCCUUGAAUAAUAACCCAUAAUAAUCUACAACUUUUUAACAGUUUAAAUUGUUCU